GGCUAGGUUUUUCCCUCCGAGGACACCGUAGGUUACGUCAAACGUAAAUAGCUUUUGCCAGCUGUCAAUUGUAAUAACAUGGCGUUUACGCUUUACUCGCUCAUCCAAGCAGCAAUUCUCUGCGUGAAUGCCGUGGCUGUAUUGCACGAAGAACGUUUUUUAAGCAGAAUUGGAUGGGGAGUGGACCAGGGUGUUGGAGGAUUUGGUGAUGAACCAGGCAUCAAAGUUCAGAUGAUGACCCUAAUUCGCUCUGUGCGUACCGUCAUGAGAGUGCCUUUGAUUGCAGUGAAUUCCGUGUGUAUCGUUUUGUUGCUGCUGUUUGGAUGAAGAAAAUGAUUGGACAAAGCAGAAGGAACCAGUUGCCUCCAUCUUCACAAUCUCAGGAAACUGUGGAUUUACAGAAUAUAUAUCGUUCGGGCAGCAAUGAUCGAAAAUUAUAAACAUUUUCUGUCAUAUCAUAAGCCUUUUCUGCAGUGAUUAAACACAAAUCAGCUAGUAUGUCGUAGUGAAUGUCACGAUCCCACAUGGUUUUUGUUGAUUAGCCACCAGGGCAAAAAGAUGUGUUUUCUUAAAUAAUUUUAUCGGUCACAAAGUGACUAAAUAACCGAAAGUUAUUAAAUAUGUAUUCAACUGGAGGAGUAAAAUCAUAAUUUUAUGUUAUGCAAUAUUGUGUUUGGUUUUUGGAGUGUGUAGUGGUCAGAGUUGCACUCAGAGCCAAAAACACGCAUGGAGGCUCUGCCUGUGCACAGUGCUCUUCCUCCGUGCUGCAGCAGAACCUAAAAUUUUUUGGAGCAACAAGGACACACAGACGAUGUGCCAACACUCGGGGUAAGCCAAAAGAUACUUAAAACUAGCCUAAGUUCCCCUUGCUUGCUAUGAAGCCACCUCGCAGAACGGCAUUAGAAUUGUGAGAGUGACAGACAGGUGAGCAAUUAUGACUCGUCCAAAUGACUCAACUUCAAAUAGAAGUUUAACGAGUGUAAAUUAUUUCGUGACAAACAAGCUUGUUCUCCACCGGUUGCAUGUAAGGAGGUCAUACAUUUAAUAUUGUCAUUUGUUGUUUCACAUGUUCCCAAAAAUGACGUAGCUGUGCAGUUUUGUCAUUUUAGCCUGCACAGGCCAAUAAAAAAUUACCAUUUUGUAUUGUUUACCAUUACAUGAAUCAAAUGCACCCAAGCAGAGAAAUUCUUUAUUCUAUAAUAAUUUUCAUAUGUAUAGCCCAUUCCACAAAUUGAUGACAUUGCAUCCUCAGGAAAUAAAAUGUUUAAAUGUGCUAUACAAUUACAUGAAAAUACAUUUUUGUACAGCAUCCUGCACAUUGACAUUUAAUGUGCUUAAUUUUAGCAUUCUACUAGUAUAAAUGUCAGGACUAUAGUUUAAUGUAUUUGCUAAUUCUAUACUAAAAACCCAUGGAGUUCCAGUCCAGAAAACAAUGAAGGAAAAUAAAACGUGUCGACUAGUACACACGCGGACUAUUUCGAAUAUGUGUACAGUAUCAUCAAAUUUCGAAGAAAAAAAUUGUGUAAUUUUUGUUUUAUUUUGGCAUUCAUUUGAUGGAUUGGCCCAAAUAAUAUAAAUGGAAAUGUAUAUAAUUACUCGUACUGUGUACACAUUGUUGAACCGUUUAUACAUGUUUAUGUGCAUUUCUAAGGUAAUUGGAGACAAUUCAUAUUCAUGCUAUUUUUAUGUAUUGCUGGCAUACCAGUGCGGAACUUUGUAUCAACGGAUCCUGUAAACCAGGGGUGUCAAACUCAGGUGCUGGAGGGCCGCUGUCCUGCAUGUUUUCCAAGUCUCCCUGUUGCAACACAUCUGCACAGCGACCCUCCAGGACCCGAGUUUGACACCUAUGCUGUAAAUUAUAGACUCGGACUUGCAUGCCCCCAAAAUGUAUAUUGGGGUAUCCCUAUACUGUUGUGAAUUAAUCUGAUUAAAGGUUUAGGGCAGGGGUGUCCAAAGUCGGUCCUCAAGGGCCGCUGCCCUGCCUGUUUUCCAGCUGUCCCAAGAGCAACACACCUGAUUCAAAUAGCCAGGAAUGUUCUAAUGCUGCUUCAGAGCUGGCUGAUGAGCUGAUCAUCUGAAUCAGGUGUGUUGCACCCGGGAGAGCUGGAAAACGGGCAAGACAGUGGCCCUCCAGGACCGGCGCUGGACAUGCCUUGAUUAGGGUGACCAAUGUAAGUUAAAUAUGAAUAUAACAAUAUUGAAUAUUGUUAUAUUCUUGUAUAACUCCUCGGUAAUAAAGACAUUUAUAAUCCCAUCGGAGUAUUUUGCUUUUCUUUCUGUGUGGUUUGUCCCAGUGCGUCUGCCGUCUUUCAGCCAUUAAAAGACAACCAACUUACUUCCUGUGUCUUCAAAACAACGUAGUCAACAUUUGAUUUCUUACGUGUUUUGCUAAAUGCCAAAAAAAUGAGAAAUGUUCAGAAUUGCAUUUUGGCGUCGCUAUCCGUAUGCGGUAUAUACUUUGCGUAUGUGCACAUCUACUGCUCUCAUAAAUUACUGAAAACUAAUGCACUCUGCCGCGAGAGACUUCCAAAGCUGUCAUAUCUGUUUCUCAAAUACCUGACCAAAGCUCUUAUGUGGAGAAAGGGCUGCUUGUACCAGCCACGCAGGAAGAAGAAAAGCGACGUGUUUUACUCCGUCGACAACUGCAGAAUAGACACGGUGCUUUUGAAGAGGUUUUGCAGUGCUGCGGGUUAUGGUUGGGACUAUCCAGACAGCGAAUACAGAGACAUUCCUCUCUGCUUUCCCGAGGUUCUGUGCUGCACUCUCCUGCUUAUGGCAGUUACUGAUCACAACUUCCGGUUGAGUCCACUUGGUCUGGUUUGUGUAGGCCAGAGCAUCAAAACGCAUCAGCCAGUUGAUGAGUUGAAGAAAGGUCCCUUCACGUUGCAAAUUCAAGUCCUCGUGUACAGAACUGUGGAUGUCGGUGUGGAGGUGGAUGUCUUGCUGUCUGCCGUUUCCCGUUCCAAGAACCUCGUGUGGGAGAGCAUCCUAACACUGCUGUCCGAGAACAAGUGCCAUCAAGCCAACAAUGAAAAUGAGGUUGUAUUGGCAGGUCAAAAUUCCGAAGCUGUGCUCCCGCCAGUGAGACAAGUGGAUCUCAGAGUUCCAUUGUGUGCUGGCCCACCAUGUGCCUGGUCUUUCUUGGACUAUUGGUUCCUCUAUCUGCCAGCCUGUCUGUUUGGCUUCAAGUUGCGGUCCAUCUCAAGUCUGUGGAUGUUGUCUGUCUGCCUGGCUGAAAUAGAGAAGCACAAUGGGGUUGGGGUCAUCACAUCCCCGCUGAACAUCUUGGCCCAGUUUAAGGACCGUUUGUUGGCACCAAGCAAAGUGACCCUGUCAUUUUGGAGUUGUCGGCCGUCGACCCAAGACCUCGGGUUCCAAAUGCAGCAACACGGGGGUAGUAAGUGUCACGUAAUGGGAGUGAUAUCUCGGACCUGACUGAAAUGGGAAGCAGUCAAUUGUUGGGAAUUAUACUCUCUCCUACUUAGUGUGUUAUGUAUCUUGAUUGAGUUUUCUCCACUUUGGAGUCCUGUGAUGUACAGCUUCUUGGGACUUCACGCCAAAACUUGGUGGAAGGACAUGUUUGUACAGACACAUGAGGUAGAACUAUUCAGCAGUCCCCCCUGCACCCCCCAAAAAAAAAACUCUAUAUAACACAUUUAAGUUAGGCAUUCACCAUUGCAAUUACAGUUAUAAAAUUCACUGGCAGUACUGUAUAUGACGGUGCCAGUUAACUGAGCUUCAUCUUUAUAUCAGGUCUUUUACUACAGGGGUCCCCAACCACCGGGCGGUCCGCGGGUCAUUUGGUGCCGGGCCGCAGAGAAAGAAUAAAUAACUUGCAUUCCUUCCGUUGUAUUCAUUUCGGAAUCUGAAAGUUGUUUUAUUUUGAAAAAUUACCGGAUUCUCUGUAUCAGUCUACAGCAGGGGUGUCAAACUCAUUUCAAAUUGUGGGCCACAUACAGUCUCGGUAGAUGUAAAGUGGGCCGGACUAUUAAAAUUAUACCAUACUCUGCUAUAAAUAACCAAAAUGUAUUUCCUUUGUUUUGGUCUAAAGAAGCACAUGAACAUUAGGAAAAUGUUGAAAUUUAAUAAACAGAUCUUUUACAAAACAUUUCAUGAAGCGCCUUAGAUUUCCUUAGACAAAUGUGCAAUUUACUUUUGUCAUUCACUUAUAUGCAUUGCAACUGAUCCCACUGAUUGUACAAAGGCACAAAACCUUAACAAGUAAUUGGUAUUGAAAAAUAUAGUAAUCCAUUUUAAUUUUAACGAAAUGGCGAGGGAUCACUGUAUUGACAUGUCCUUGAUAGCGUAUGCGGUGUUGGGUCCGGUCUCAGUGACAGACUGAGGGUGCUGUUGUCUUCUUCUCUGAUCAAAACAAUGUUGUCUUUUACUUUGAUCAAAACAGUGUCUCCCCUAGCGGAUACACCACGAAUUGCACUGUAUUAAAAAUAUUCAUUCCGUAUUUUUUAAUGGAUUUUUUCACUUUUAAAUUAUCCGGCGGGCCUGAUCAAACCUCCUUGCGUGUCGGUUGUGACCAGCGGGCCAUAUUGUUUGACACAUCCACUCUACGGUAUGUCACUCUUGGCGCAGGUGAAUGUGCGCUUCUCGGUCAUGUGAUAGGUUACCAUAUAAAAAAUCAAACGUCUUAAAGUUUUUUCGGGAAGGGGAAAAGGACCAGCCAGGACACAGAAGAGGAGCCUACGACUGUCACGAAAGAGAAGGCUACAUUUAAUAAACAGUAUCAGGAGUCCUAUGUACAUCUUUAUCUCAAUGAGAGAUUCAAAUGCAACAAGCCUACUUUGCAUCAUAAGCGGCGAUAGUGAGUAGUGAGUGAGUCACUUUUUAUUUGCGGUGUACCUUAUUUUGAAGGCAUGUUGAAACAUUACCAUUGCGACCACGGAAUGUUGCGGCCAGAUAGGACGUUCCUCGUGUCAUGAUUUGUGUUUAUCAUGUUUCCAAAAUAGCACACUUUUCAUGCAGGUCAUAUUAUAUUGCUGUAUCUAUCUGACAUAAAAAGGUUGGGGACCUCUGUUCUACUGGAUCUUACGGAAUGUGUGUGACAAUGUUGGGACCAGCGAGAGUGUUUUUUUUUUGGGGGGGUCAUUUUCCAAAAUAAUUUUGCUAGUCAGUGCUUGCAUGCUCCAGCACGGAGAUCCUAGGCCUCACAUUUUAGCACAGACUGGACUACUCUAAUGUAGGCCUCAUUCUCUGUGGGUUUGAAGGCAUUUCAAUAUUUGAUCCCUCUCAUAAUGCGGUUUGCAUUUUUCAUGUAUUUAAGAAACUCUAUUAUUUAUUGAACCACCUUCACUGCGUAGAACAGAAAUAAAGGGGUUUUCAUGAUUCCCUAUACUGUUCCACAAAUUCCUGAACUGAUUGCUUACCAUUAUGACAGUACAUCACAAACUUUGCAUUGCCCUACCAUACAGGAACCAGACGAAAGCGGUGUUCACUCAUGCAGGGCAGUCAGGACAUGUACAAACGGGCAGCAACAGAUUUGAACUCUGUCUUGUGAUAUAAGAGUGGCUAAUUUGCUGCCCAGUUUGAAAGUACAGCUUAAUAGUAAGCAGUCAGAAGUGCGGCUGCCACCACGACUGGAUUCAAAAGCAAAUAACAGACCAGAUAAAAUUUGGGAAAAGUGCUACACGGGUUUGUUUUGGAGCCCACGCAAAUGUGGUUGGUUGAUUUGAUCUCAAUGUUUAUAUACAGUAUAGUUAGUGAUACCCCAAUAUGAACAUUUGUAGUGUUUCACUUGAGGGUCACCGAUUGGUGACAUCUGUUACCGGUGGAAAAUGGGCAUCUGGAGUUGAUGUGUGACCAGGCAAAUGUGUUUUUCCCUCACGGUCAUUUGAUUCAACAGUAUGUUUUUCAGCAUUUGUUCUUGCAGUGUAUAUUGCAAAAAAAAAGUCUCAGUGGAACUACAGUGCGUGUGUGUGCAUGUUUAUUUCAUUAGUCCAUCAUUUGGUCUUUAUUUUUUUCUUUGUGAAAAUCCAUUUCCUUAUAAUAAAAUUUUGCAACUUU